UACGUAGGGGGCUAGCGUUGUCCGGAUUUAUUGGGCGUAAAGAGCUCGUAGGCGGUUUGUCGCGUCUGCUGUGAAAACCCGAGGCUCAACCUCGGGCCUGCAGUGGGUACGGGCAGACUAGAGUGCGGUAGGGGAGAUUGGAAUUCCUGGUGUAGCGGUGGAAUGCGCAGAUAUCAGGAGGAACACCAAUGGCGAAGGCAGAUCUCUGGGCCGUAACUGACGCUGAGGAGCGAAAGCGUGGGGAGCAAACAGG
rnacentral:rRNA from 1 species